rnacentral:rRNA from 1 species
AACGCUGGCGGCAGGCCUAACACAUGCAAGUCGAGCGGAAACGACUUAACUGAACCUUCGGGGAACGUUAAGGGCGUCGAGCGGCGGACGGGUGAGUAAUGCCUGGGAAAUUGCCCUGAUGUGGGGGAUAACCAUUGGAAACGAUGGCUAAUACCGCAUAAUAGCUUCGGCUCAAAGAGGGGGACCUUCGGGCCUCUCGCGUCAGGAUAUGCCCAGGUGGGAUUAGCUAGUUGGUGAGGUAAGGGCUCACCAAGGCGACGAUCCCUAGCUGGUCUGAGAGGAUGAUCAGCCACACUGGAACUGAGACACGGUCCAGACUCCUACGGGAGGCAGCAGUGGGGAAUAUUGCACAAUGGGCGCAAGCCUGAUGCAGCCAUGCCGCGUGUAUGAAGAAGGCCUUCGGGUUGUAAAGUACUUUCAGCAGUGAGGAGGGUUCAUGCGUUAAUAGCGUAUGGAUUUGACGUUAGCUGCAGAAGAAGCACCGGCUAACUCCGUGCCAGCAGCCGCGGUAAUACGGAGGGUGCGAGCGUUAAUCGGAAUUACUGGGCGUAAAGCGCAUGCAGGUGGUUUGUUAAGUCAGAUGUGAAAGCCCGGGGCUCAACCUCGGAAUUGCAUUUGAAACUGGCAGACUAGAGUACUGUAGAGGGGGGUAGAAUUUCAGGUGUAGCGGUGAAAUGCGUAGAGAUCUGAAGGGAAUACCGGUGGCGAAGGCGGCCCCCUGGACAGAUACUGACACUCAGAUGCGAAGCGUGGGGAGCAAACAGGAAUUAGAUACCUGGUAGUCCACGCGUAAACGAUGUCUACUUGGAGGUGUGCCUUGAGCCGUGCUUUCGGAGCUAA